rnacentral:rRNA from 1 species
CCUACGGGAGGCAGCAGUGAGGAAUAUUGGUCAAUGGGCGAUAGCCUGAACCAGCCAAGUAGCGGGAAGGAUGACUGCCCUAUGGGUUGUAAACCUCUUUUAUAUGGGAGUAAAGUGCUGUAUGUAUACUGUUUUGCCUGUACCUUAUGAAUAAGGAUCGGCUAACUCCGUGCCAGCAGCCGCGGUAAUACGGAGGAUCCGAGCGUUAUCCGGAUUUAUUGGGUUUAAAGGGGGCGUAGGCGGGUUGUUAAGUCAGUUGUGAAAGUUUGCGGCUCAACCUUAAAAUUGCGGUUGAUACUGGAGGGCUAGAGUACAGUCGAGGUAGGCGGAAUGCGUGGUGUAGCGGUGAAAUGCUUAGAUAUCACGAAGAACACCGAUUGCGAAGGCAGCCUGCUGGACUGUGACUGACGCUGAUGCACGAAAGUGUGGGUAUCAAACAGGAUUAGAUACCCGAGUAGUC